rnacentral:rRNA from 1 species
GACGAACGCUGGCGGCGUGCCUAAUACAUGCAAGUCGAGCGGACUUUUGGGAGCUUGCUCCCAAAAGUUAGCGGCGGACGGGUGAGUAACACGUGGGCAACCUGCCUAUAAGACUGGGAUAACUUCGGGAAACCGGAGCUAAUACUGGAUAAUUCUUUUCUACUCAUGUAGGAAAGCUGAAAGACGGUUUCGGCUGUCACUUAUAGAUGGGCCCGCGGCGCAUUAGCUAGUUGGUGAGGUAACGGCUCACCAAGGCAACGAUGCGUAGCCGACCUGAGAGGGUGAUCGGCCACACUGGGACUGAGACACGGCCCAGACUCCUACGGGAGGCAGCAGUAGGGAAUCUUCCGCAAUGGACGAAAGUCUGACGGAGCAACGCCGCGUGAGUGAUGAAGGUUUUCGGAUCGUAAAACUCUGUUGUUAGGGAAGAACAAGUACCAGUUAACUGCUGGUACCUUGACGGUACCUAACCAGAAAGCCACGGCUAACUACGUG